AGCUGUCUUGUCUUCCACCAAUUGUAGGUAUCUAGAGAUCGAAGAGUGAUAUCGUUUCAGCAGCUCCUGGAUAUGGAUAUCGAAGGAGAAGCAACAUACUUUGAAAGUGAUGAGGGAGGCCAAAACAUGAAAGAGACACAGGAGAAUGUGAGUUGCAUAUGUGCAUGUCGUGGAAGCAGUAGAUAUUGUGGUGUUCUAACAACAGAGGACAUAAGAAACCACUCAUGGAUGACAUCUGAUGCAGCAUAUGGGUGCUAUGUUAGUUACAUUAAAAGUGUUGGGUUUGGAGUCCGUAAGAGAGAUGCUGCUCGUGCCAAAGAUGGGAAAUAUAGAAGGCGACGAUUCUUUUGCAACAAGGCGGGACACAGAGGAGAAAUACUACAACAAUCCGAAUAGGAAGAGGGAGCACAAGGCAGAGACUUGAACUGGUUGUGAGGCGAAGCUGUCCAUUUACCUUGAUGAAAUUUCUUCAGUUUGGAGGGUUAGGAAACUAGUCGAGGAGCAUAAUCAUGAGUUAAUAACACAAUGCCUUGUCUACCUAAUUCCAAAUCAUCGUCGUUUGACCGAUGCAAACAAAGCUCAGACUGACACAAUGAUCAU